rnacentral:rRNA from 1 species
AGUGAACGCUGGCGGUAGGCCUAACACGUGCAAGUCGAACGGCAGCACAGUAAGAGCUUGCUCUUACGGGUGGCGAGUGGCGGACGGGUGAGGAAUACAUCGGAAUCUACUUUUUCGUGGGGGAUAACGUAGGGAAACUUACGCUAAUACCGCAUACGACCUACGGGUGAAAGCAGGGGAUCUUCGGACCUUGCGCGAUUGAAUGAGCCGAUGUCGGAUUAGCUAGUUGGCGGGGUAAAGGCCCACCAAGGCGACGAUCCGUAGCUGGUCUGAGAGGAUGAUCAGCCACACUGGAACUGAGACACGGUCCAGACUCCUACGGGAGGCAGCAGUGGGGAAUAUUGGACAAUGGGCGCAAGCCUGAUCCAGACAUACCGCGUGGGUGAAGAAGGCCUUCGGGUUGUAAAGCCCUUUUGUUGGGAAAGAAAAGCAGCAGGUUAAUACCCCGCUGUUCUGACGGUACCCAAAGAAUAAGCACCGGCUAACUUCGUG